rnacentral:lncRNA from 1 species
UUCGCGACCAUAUUCCUCGAGGAUAUCUCGAACACUCAUAGCGGAAAGGAAAGGUGAUAUGAGAGAUGGGAGACUCAAGCAGCCUAUUUAUAGGAAGGGGAAGGAGGAUGGGCUCGAAAAUCGAGGAGCACUAAUGAAGGUGGUUGGGGGCGAGACGAGGGCGGACGGCCCCGGGCCCCGGCCCGCCGAGGAAGGGGGGAGUACUGUUGGUACCAUGGACCGCGGCCCAUGGACCAAACCGGCCCCGGCGGCGGCCCGGGC